rnacentral:lncRNA from 1 species
AAGAAAAAAAAUACUAGUUGUUGUUACAGUAAAGCUAAAUAAAAAUGAUAUAUGUUGUCGUUACAGCUUGCUUUGCGUAAAGAAAGUAAGAAAAAGAAUAUAAUUGAUUGGUUUCUAGUUUAUUCUGCUUAAAUAAAAAGAAUACUUAACCUCUGUUGCUAUGCUACAUACACAUAUCUCUACCAUUCAAGAGUUCUAAUAUAUCAGUUUUUCGAUGCCACCAACAAAUACAAUGUAUCAUUUUUAGGAGUGAAAUCAAACAUGUCAACAACAAACAAUAAAAUGUUAAAGAGAUAGAGACCGAACCAAAUUUGAGAUGCACAUCCGUGUAUAACAACAAAGGAGAAUGCAAUGGUAGUGUAAUGUUUGACAAUGGUUGGCGAUGGUGGAAGUUGAAAUGACGGUGUGUAAGUUGAAAUUACGGUGAUGGCUCUGAUUCUCGUUUUUUAUUUUUUUCUCUUAAUUUUGAAAUAUAUAAUUUUGAUAAUGGAGUUGGGUUGUUGUUUCUUCUCUGAUCAACUUUAUUUUUGUUUUAGAAUCUCUCUUUUAUAAAAAAAAAUUCACAAAGAAAAAAAAGAAACUCUAUCUUUUCUAUCUUCUUAUUAUUCUUUAAAAUAAAACUCCUUUAUGUUGAGUG